GGCUGGUCCAAUGGCAGUGGGUUAUCAGAACUUAUUAACAUUAGUGUCACUAAAGUUGGUAUCUCCCCCCCCCCUUAAAUUUGACUGGCUUAAA
ensembl:misc_RNA Y_RNA Y RNA